AAAACGCGAUAAUUAUUAUGAGACGCAGAACUCAGUGAAUCAUCAAACCCUUGAACGCACUUGGCGCCCUCGGGCUUCCGGGCUCUGGGGCAUAUCUGUUUGAGUGUCAAUAAACCCCCCUCACAAACUCCAACUUUCGGGUUGGGUUCAAAUGUGGACGUUGGCCGCUGUGCACACACACGUGCGCGCACACCGGCUCAAGUUUAGUGGUGAGAGGCUCGCGAAUCGCUCCUCGAACACUGACUGGGUAAGUUUCCUCUGGAAACAACAAAAUACUAAGUCAAAUGUUCGCGGGUUCAUGGCGUCUCGCGCAGCGCUUGCCCCGUAACGCUGCCAUACCGUAAAAGGUGCGGCAGAUUGCGGAAACGCAAACCCUCUGACCUCAAAUCAGGUAAGAAUA
rnacentral:misc_RNA from 1 species